NNNNUCUGAUCAUCGUACUGUAUAUGUUACGAAGUGUUGGAUUGUUUCACCCGUUAAUGAGGAACGUGAGAUGGGUUUAGACCGUCGUGAGACAGGUU
rfam:Nosema bombycis CQ1 unplaced genomic scaffold NBO_87, whole genome shotgun sequence.